GCACUAAAAACUCCUGCCGCUCACGACC
rnacentral:sRNA from 1 species